rnacentral:rRNA from 1 species
AUUGAACGCUGGCGGCAGGCCUAACACAUGCAAGUCGAGCGGAUGAAGGGAGCUUUCUCCUGGAUUCAGCUGCGGACGGGUGAGUAAUGCCUAGGAAUCUGCCUGGUAUUUGGGGAUAACGUCCGGAAACGGGCGCUAAUACCGCAUACGUCCUGAGGUAGAAAGUGGGGGAUCUUCGGACCUCACGCUAUCUGAUGAGCCUAGGUCGGAUUAGCUAGUUGGUUGGGUAAAGGCCUACCAAGGCGACGAUCCGUAACUGGUCUGAGAGGAUGAUCAGUCACACUGGAACUGAGACACGGUCCAGACUCCUACGGGAGGCAGCAGUGGGGAAUAUUGGACAAUGGGCGAAAGCCUGAUCCAGCAAUGCCGCGUGUGUGAAGAAGGUCUUCGGAUUGUAAAGCACUUUAAGUUGGGAGGAAGGGAAGUAAGUUAAUACCUUGCUGUUUUGACGUUACCAACAGAAUAAGCAACGGCUAACUUCGUG